GGGUGUAUAGCUUAGUGGUAGAGCAUUUGCCUAGCAUGCACAAGGCCCUGGGUUUGAUCCUUAGUGCUCCUU
rnacentral:tRNA from 1 species